UACCCACAAAUCAUCGGAAACUACAACCGUAGAAAUAUAACUCGAAUCAAUUAUUAAUAAACGCUGUUUGUUAGGCCGCUACAAUACACAGACCUAUAUACUUGUAUAUAUUGUAAGAGAGUGUGUUUUUAAAACACAGGGCGGUUUAAAUUUGCCAGUGGAAGCGUGAUAUCCAGCCGGGACGAGGUGGUGGGCAUUAUAAUAGUGUGUGAUAGCUUGGACAAUUAUUGACGAAGAAGCAGUCUCCACGAAAUCUAGAUUUCUGUAAAUUUUAAAACCAAUCAGAAUGAAGGUUACGGAGGACAUGAUAAUCGGCCUGUCGACGGGAUUUGCCACGUUUCUUGCUUUCGGAAUUAUCGUCUGCGUCUUGUGGCAGUGUUUAUGCAACCGAUCAGAGAAAGACGAGGACGAGGAACAUGGAAAGGAUGCAGAAUGAAGAUUGUGAUAACCCGGGGGUGUAUAAAAGAAGAGUUCCUUCACAUUUCACUUGCUGAAAUACUACUAAUCUUUUUAAUUACCUUUAACAGUAAUUAGCGCAACGCAAAAAAGUAAAUUAUCACUGUUUUGUUAAAAAAAAAAGCGUGUGGUAUAUGGUAUGAAUUAUUGACAUUAGCUUAUUGUGUUUCCGAUUUGUUUUUGCACGUCUGGUAUCGAUUGAUGAAGGUGUUUUAACUCAUAAAAGAACCUUUUGUUGACCGCUGGAAUAACACUUCUUAGUUAAUGUGCAGUGGUUUUAUUAUACAUCCUCGUGUAUAUUUCUCAAUGAUAAUCAUUAAUCUAUAUCCAUCGAUUGAUUUCGUCGAUUUAUCUGUUAUUUAGACAAAUGUAUGAUUCUCAUCACGAUUUUUGUGUGUAAAUAAUAGAUGCAUUUGCGGGCGCAUUUCGUCAUUUAUAAGAAGAAUUUUAAAUUCCAAUGCUUUCAUGUAGCAUUCACAACACUUUGUCAAAUUUCUCUGAAUGAAUGAAAUUUUAAUGACUUUGUUUUCGCGGAAUUACCUGACAAUAAUCGGGUUAGUUUUGGUUAUCUCCUUCGUUUACUGUUUCGUUUUGUAGAAAGAUAUCUUUCUGGGAUGUUUUAAAGCUGAUUGGGGUUGAUUCCGGGGGGGGGGGGGGGGGUAUUAAAUCUGGUAAGGUAGGAUGAGGGACAAAGCAUAAAACUUUCCAAAUAUUCCUUAUCAUACGGAAGACCAUAACUUCAAGUUUGAUGUGUCGACCAACUCAAUGAAAAGCAAUGUUUCCUCUCUCUCUCUCUCUCUCUCUCUCUCUCUCUCUCUCAACUAACAUUGCAUCUGUUUGUUAAUAAAGCUAUUGCAUUUCCGUCUUUGGUACAUGUACAUGCUAGUUUGUUAUAUUAAAUUAUUUUGUAUGACACAUAACCUGUGAAUUGAUUUGUUAACUAUUGAUGACGUACUUGAUUGUGAUUCGUCGGCUUUAUUUCACUGGGAUGGAUAUAUGAUUGUGAUGGUAUAGUGAUAUAAAGCUGCUUUCUUUGUAUGAUAGAGUAUGCACACUCAUGAGUUGUCUCACUCCCCUACCAUUGUUGUAGAUUCUAAAUAAAGAAAAAUCCAGUU